GGUUAAGCGACUAAGCGUACACGGUGGAUGCCCUGGCAGUCAGAGGCGAUGAAGGACGUGCUAAUCUGCGAUAAGCGUCGGUAAGGUGAUAUGAACCGUUAUAACCGGCGAUUUCCGAAUGGGGAAACCCAGUGUGAUUCGUCACACUAUCAUUAACUGAAUCCAUAGGUUAAUGAGGCGAACCGGGGGAACUGAAACAUCUAAGUACCCCGAGGAAAAGAAAUCAACCGAGAUUCCCCCAGUAGCGGCGAGCGAACGGGGAGCAGCCCAGAGCCUGAAUCAGUGUGUGUGUUAGUGGAAGCGUCUGGAAAGGCGUGCGAUACAGGGUGACAGCCCCGUACACAAAAAUGCACAUACUGUGAGCUCGAUGAGUAGGGCGGGACACGUGGUAUCCUGUCUGAAUAUGGGGGGACCAUCCUCCAAGGCUAAAUACUCCUGACUGACCGAUAGUGAACCAGUACCGUGAGGGAAAGGCGAAAAGAACCCCGGCGAGGGGAGUGAAAAAGAACCUGAAACCGUGUACGUACAAGCAGUGGGAGCACGCUUAGGCGUGUGACUGCGUACCUUUUGUAUAAUGGGUCAGCGACUUAUAUUCUGUAGCAAGGUUAACCGAAUAGGGGAGCCGAAGGGAAACCGAGUCUUAACUGGGCGUUAAGUUGCAGGGUAUAGACCCGAAACCCGGUGAUCUAGCCAUGG
rnacentral:rRNA from 1 species